UACAGAGGGGGCAAGCGUUAUUCGGAAUUAUUGGGCGUAAAGGGCGCGUAGGCGGCCUGGCAAGUGGAAGGUGAAAUCCCUCGGCUUAACCGAGGAACUGCCUCCCAAACUGCUUAGCUUGAGACCGGGAGAGGUGAGUGGAAUUCCCAGUGUAGCGGUGAAAUGCGUAGAUAUUGGGAGGAACACCAGUGGCGAAGGCGGCUCACUGGACCGGUACUGACGCUGAUGCGCGAAGGCGUGGGGAGCAAACGGG
rnacentral:rRNA from 1 species